rnacentral:rRNA from 1 species
GGUGAUCAGCUAAGUCGUAACAAGGUAGCAGUAGGUGAACCUGCAGAAGGAUCA